rnacentral:piRNA from 1 species
UGCUCAGCCUCUGCCUGUAGCUGCUGC